AUACCGGCUGCUCGAGUGAUGGCCACUAUUACUGGGUUUAAAGCGUCCGUAGCUUGACUGUUAGGUCUCUUGGGAAAUCUUUUGGCUUAACCAAAAGGCGUCUAAGAGAUACCGGCAUUCUUGGAACUGGGAGAGGUAAGCCGUACUUCGGGGGUAGGAGUGAAAUCUUGUAAUCCUCGAGGGACGACCUAUGGCGAAGGCAGCUUACCAGAACAGCUUCGACAGUGAGGGACGAAAGCUGGGGGAGCAAACGGGAUUAGAUACCCCGGUAGUCCCAGCCGUAAACAAUGUGCGUUAGGUGUGUCGGUUACCACGCGUAACUGUUGCGCCGAAGAGAAAUCGUGAAACGCACCACCUGGGAAGUACGGUCGCAAGGCUGAAACUUAAAGGAAUUGGCGGGG
rnacentral:rRNA from 1 species